AUUGAACGCUGGCGGCAGGCCUAACACAUGCAAGUCGAGCGGGGUUUUCGGACCUAGCGGCGGACGGGUGAGUAAUGCGUAGGAAGCUACCCGAUAGAGGGGGAUACCAGUUGGAAACGACUGUUAAUACCGCAUAAUGUCUACGGACCAAAGUGUGGGACCUUCGGGCCACAUGCUAUCGGAUGCGCCUACGUGGGAUUAGCUAGUUGGUGAGGUAAUGGCUCACCAAGGCGACGAUCCCUAGCUGGUUUGAGAGGAUGAUCAGCCACACUGGAACUACGACACGGUCCAGACUCCUACGGGAUGCAGCAGUGGGGAAUAUUGGACGAUUGGCGCAAGCCUGAUCCAGCCAUGCCGCGUGUGUGAAGAAGGCCUUCGGGUUGUAAAGCACUUUCAGUAGGGAGGAAGGGUUAAGUGUUAAUAGUACUUAACUUUGACGUUACCUACAGAAGAAGCACCGGCUAACUCUGUGCCAGCAGCCGCCGUAAGAC
rnacentral:rRNA from 1 species